rnacentral:lncRNA from 1 species
UGGGAAGUGGUGGAAGAAUAGUGAUAAGCUUAGGCUAAGAUGGUGGGAUUGUUGGUAGCUUUGGGAUUCAAGGCAAUAUAGGAGGAAGUGGUGGAAUUGGUACGCUGGGAAGUGGUGGAAGAAUGGGGGUAGGGUUAGGAAGUGGUGGAAUUGGUACUGGUACUCUAGGAAGUGGUGGAAGACUGGGGGUAAGGUUAGGAAGUGGUGGAAUUGGUAAUCUGGGAAGUGGUGGAAUUGGGAAUCCAGGAAGUGGUGGAAGAAUGGGGGGAAGUGGUGGAAUUGGUGGAAUUGGUGGAAUUGGUGGAAUAGUUACUUGCUGAAGAUUUCGAGCUGCUAGGCUAACCUCCAUGCUUGAAAAACCCAACAAAAUGAAACAAGCUAAUAAAAUGAAAACGUUGGAACCUGCCAUUUUUUUUGGAGAGAUGAACUAAAGAUUGAAGAUUUGAGUUGAGGUUUGCAUUGAGGAAAGCAGGAUUGCUUUUCAGGUAUUUAUAGCCACAUUUGAAAGACUUAAUUAAUUAUUUGUUUGAGAUAUUAUUCCCCUACUUAGCAUACUACCUUUUCUCACCCAUCUGUCAUCACCAACAAAAAGAAGAAGAAGAUAAAUUAGACUCAUCCUUAAACUUAAAAAUAUUCUGAAUGAGUCGAUUUGUCUAAUGUUAGUUAAAAAUUAAAUGCUUUUAAAUUUUGUGUGAACUAUAUCUUUCUAUUUCCAUUUACCUAAUGCCAGUUAAAAAAUAAAUAUUUUUUUAUAUAAUGAGUGUAUAUUUGACUUACGUAUGUGGCGCUCUAUUAAAAAAAAAAUUAAAUUAGGUGGAUCAAAUUUAAAUAUUAGAUAACUAUACAUGUUGGUACUUAAACUUGGUAUUUAAGAUUUUUUGUUGUCCAAUUAAAGGUUGAAUUUAAAUUAGAUAGUUGAACUUGAUUUCUUAGUUCAAAUUCCAAGCUUAGAUACCAAAAUGUUUGGUAUAAUAUUAAAUUAAAAAAAUUCAAGAUGUAAAAUACUAAUUUAACAUUUAAACUAGUUGCCCCAUACAGCUACAAUGGUAAUGAUAGAAGAAAAGUAAUUGAAUGGGAUUAGGAGAUGAAGAUCCUAGUAAAGCCACCUCUAGAGGUAUGAGAGUUGCGACCACUCUAUAAUUGAAUGCUACAAAAAUGGUUAUAUCUAGGAAUCUUUCGCCAUUAGCUAAUAAUGGAAAUAGCUAUGUAUCACUUAAAAAACAACAAUUCAUAUUUUCUUGAAAUAUAUUCAAAAAAUUGAAAAAUAUAAAAAAUAUCAUUUUUCUAAAAAUCCAAAAAUUUUAUGUGAAUAUCAACAAAUUCAGAAACUAAAAGAUAUGGAAAGCUUUAAAGUUUUUCCAAAAAGAUAGAAAUUUGCAGAAAAUUAGGUAUUUAAGAUUCCAAUAUUUUUAUUUCCCUUCUUUCCUGAUUGGAGAAAAUAUGAAUUAGGUGACGCCAUCGUUAACAAUUGGGGCAAGGUAAGACACGGUUGGAAACUUCAAGUAGGUGUAAUUUUGGGGAAAUAUUACAUUGUUUAAUAAUGAAUAUUGACAUGAUUUACCCUGAGUUAAAUCAAUUAUAUUUUACUUAUAUUUUCUAUACAAAUUUUAUACAAGCCUAAAUUAAUCAUAUUCAAUCAUAUCAAUCUCAAUAUUUUGAAUAAGAUAAUAAUAUUUUCUUAAAACUAUAACUAUAUAAAGUAUUGUAAAAAUAAUUAUUCAAUUAUACAGCUAUUUUAUUUGUAUAAUUAUAAUUAACAUAACCUUCUCCAUCAUAUAAUUAAAAUUUGUUCAACUUAUAAUUACAACAACUUUCCGUGAAGAAAAGAGAGAGACACAAAUACAAACUAAUGAGAUUAAAUAAAUCUCAAAUAUAAAAUAUUCUUCAAUAAACAUCAUUAAUCAAUCUCAAAAGAAACAAGAAAAGAAAUUCAUAAAUUAAACAAUAAGAAUAUAAUAUAACAAUCCAUUAUUUAAUAAAUUCAAAAAAAAAAAUCACAUUUAUAUUUUAAAUUUUAUUGGUCUAAUUUUAGAUAGGUUUAUAAACUUCAAAUGAUUUAAAAUAUUAGUGUCACGCCCCUAAAUAUAGGAAGGUUCAUUGAAAUGAAUAAAUAAGAAAUGUGUUGACACCAUUUUUUUGAUGAAAACGGGGUUGACUUGGAUUUUGAAAAUGAAAAUUAAAAUGACAGUCGCCACCAAUCCUUUUUGAUAAGGUGUGAUCGGAUCACCUUGAAAAGUGGUUGUUUUUAAUAAACGAUUUAAUUUUAUUAAAACAACGAGUUUGGUCCACGAAAUUCAGAAAAAUGGGUUCGGGAGUCGGUUACGUACGAGGAAGGAUUAGCGCCCUCGUGACGCCCAAAAAUUGGUACCUAGUUGAUUAGUUAAUGUCUUAAUGUCAAAAAUUGUAAACUUUGAAGAAUUUUAAAAAUACGAUCCUUAAUUUUUUUAAAAAGAAAACUUAUAUAAAUCAAGUUACUCGUUAAGACCCUCCCAUUUCAGAAAGAGAAAACGUCACGCCCAAUGCGUUAGGGCACGAUAUUUUACCUCUUCAGAAAUGAGCUUGUCUAAAAACUUACACAAUAAAAUUUUAAAGGGCAUUCAAUUGUUUAAGUCAUGUGAAAAAUUGCAACCCAAUACAUUAGGGCACAAUUUCUCAAAAUAUUAAACAUUGAAUAUUGCAUUUAUUUUGAAAAAUCCUCAUAUCCAAUGCGUUACGGCACAACGUACUGAAUUCUCGAUAAUGAGCUAUUUAUUUAUGUUUUUGUUUUAAAGAGCACCCUCGAUUAUUUAGAUCCAACGAAGAAAAUUGGAACCAAUACGUUAGGGUUCAAUUCUCUCGAAGAUCCCAAAUACCGAGUAUUACUUUUAUUUUGAAAUUUUCCGUUUUUGAUAAAUCCGAGUAAAAAUGGAUGCAAAAUAAUGAUAAUGAUGAUAAUGUAAGUAAAAUAACACGAGCAAAACAAAAUAUAAAUAAAUAAUAAGACUAAUAUAAAUACAAUCGUGCAGGCGCAAUAACAAAUAAGAAACAGAUAAAAACUAAAGCAAGAAAAAUAAUAAUAACAUACAUGUAAAUAAAUAACUGAACAAAAUUAACAAAAUUAAAAAAAAUAUAAAAGAUAUAUUUAUACAUAUAUAUGUAUAAAAUUAUGAAAAUAUUAAAAACAUAUGCAUGUACACAUUUUUGAAGCUAUUAUACAUGAAAAUAUAUGUAAGUAUAUAUGCACAUACAUGAAUACGUAUAGAACCAUCAUCAAAUAUAUAAAAGUAUAUAUAUAUAUAUGUAGGUAUAUAUGAAUCACAAAAUUUAAAGAAUAAUAUAUAUAAGAUAUAUAUUUUGGAAGUAUAAAGAAUAUGUAAGAAUUUAUAUAUACAUACAUUUAUAUAUGAAAAUGAAAUAUAUAGAUAUGUAUGUGGGUAUGUAUAAAUAUUAUAAAAUAUAAAAACAUAUAUGUGUACGCAUAUAUAUAAAAAUAUACAUAUGUAUAUAUACAUAUAUAUUAUGAAAAUAAAGCUAAAAAAAAACUAGUUAGUGUAUUAACAUAAUUGUAACGACUAAAUAAAGGAAAAUAAUAAUAAUAAUAAUAAUAAUAAUAAUAAUAACAUUAAAAUAAUUAACUAAAUAAUAAAAAUUGCUAAAAAAAGAUUAAAUCGAAAUAAAAACGAAAAUACUGGGCAAAUUCGAAAUAAAAAAAACGAAAAGGAUUAAAUUGCUACACGCAUCGAAAGAGGGAGACCAAAACGAUAAAUAAACCAAAGCCCCAAAACGCAGCGCUGCAACGGACUAAAAUGAAACAAAAGGAAAACUAUGUGGCUAAAUUAAAAUAAAAGAAAAUAAUGAAAAAGGGCCAAAUUGCAACUCGUUGCAAAGUCGGAGUGACUACGCGCGCAAAUAUCCCCUUUUAAGAAAACACGCGGAUCCUCCCCCAGGGUCGGGUCACCGAGCGGGUCAGGGCCAAAAUGGCGUCGUUUUGGCACCUGACCCUAAUGACAAAACGGCGCCAUUUCGUUUAGGGUAUUUAAACCUAAUUUUUCCCAAAAAACCUAAUUUCAGCCACCAUUUAAAAAAAAUAAAAAACUUUCUUUUUCUUUCAAAAAUCUGACUUUUGGGGUAAAAUUUUUUACUUUCUCUUGAUAUUUUGCGCGAAUAUGAAUUGUUUUUUUUUAAAAAAAUAUGUAUAAAAAUAAAAAUGAACGGGUAUAAAAAAGAAAAGAGAUGCGAAACUAAAAUCACAUUGGAGUGAAUCUGUUUGUUUUUUUUAAAUCUGUUUUUGUAUUAUUUAAAAGUGUUCUUACAAAAAAUCUAAAAAGGAACCCCCUAAAUUACAGAAAAAUUUGGCUUUUAUAGCCGAUUCUCCCCCCUCAUUCUUUGCUCUGUUGCUUUUCUAUUGCUUGCAGGGACUUGACGCGGUGCAUGUGGGGUGUCGGUGGCAAGUGGGGUGAUGGAACAUCCGACGGUGGCCGUGGCUGCUGGUGAUGCGACUGGUGUGCGGCGGCCAAGAGCUAGGGUUUCAGAAAAGCUGAAACCCUAGUUUGACUGUUGGGGUUGGGAUUUUGGGCCAAUUGGGUUAUUGGGCCUCGAGUUUGGGUUUGUAAUUGGGUUAAUUUAUUUUUUUUGGGUUUUAUGUUUGGGUUUAUUGAAUAUUGGGCUGAGGGUUAGUGGGUUAGGCCUAGGUGGGUUGGUUUGGGUUUUGGGCCCCGGGCUAAAAUUGGGCUUGUACAAAAUGAAUUAGGUUUAAUGGCUAAGUGUUAAAGAAUUCACCUUAGAGACUUAAGUUCGAGUUCCCUUCCUUCCUUUUUAUUUUUGGUAACUUGGUUUUAGGGUAAAGUCACACUCAAAAUAUAUACGACUAGGAAUUAAGAAUAAAUAAGAAAUGGGCAAUAGGUCCAAUGGUUAAGUGUUAAUCCCCUAUCUUAGAGAUCUUAGGUGUAAGUUUCCUUUUUCCCCUCCCAUUUUUCUUUUGGAUUUCGACAAUAAGGGGAAAUUUGCUGUGCCACCCCUAGGGUUUUCAAACCCGAGCUAUUUAAUCAUUCUUUUCCCAUUUGGAUUAGUUUUGCUUCUUUUCAAAUUCUUGUAAAAUUUCUACUCAUAUUAUAUUUCUCUUAUAUUUAUUUUCUUUUCCUUUCUUUUCAUUGUAACACCCUAAACUCGGUCGAAUAGGUUCGACCUAAAUUUGGAGAGCUACAUUAGCCACCGAAGUGACUUUCCAUUAACUCCCAAUCUAACCUCUAACACACCACUUACUUGCAACGUAUAUUAUGAUAAGUUAUAUCAUAACAAGGGUAUAAUAUAAUACAUAUAAUGUAAAUCAUGCAAGCUUAAAACCAAUGUAACACCCCAAACCCGGCUGAGUAGGUUCGACCCAAAUUUGGCGAGUUACAUUAGCCACCGAAGUGACUCUCCAUCAAUUCCCAACCUAACCUCCAACACACCACUUACUUGCAAUGUAUGUUAUGAUAAGUUAUAGCAUAACAGUGAAAUAAUAUCACAUAUAGAAUGUAAAUCAUGCAACCUUAUCAAACAAAAUGAGGGAACGGUUCGCAUGUUAAUUACUACGUAAGGCUACGUAGUAAGGUUAUCGCACCUAAGGGUUCACAAGCAUAUAGGGGGUCACAAACAAACAAAGGUCGCAGAAAAUAACACUUCGCAAAAAAAAUUGGCUCGCGUAUGAUGUUAAUACAUAUUUUGGAAAAAUUGAAAGAAUGCGACAUGGUACUCAUGCUAGGAGAAUUAAAGAAACAUCAAAGUAUAUUCAUGCAGAGAAGAAAUUAGUAAUAAAGGUUUAACUUCAUGGUUCGCAAAAUAUUAAAAGAAUAAACUUAAACUUUAGGGAAAUCGUUUCAUUAACAGAAUCAUAUAAUGAUAAAUCUAAACCUAUAUAAAUAAAACCCCAUCACCUAUUUCCCUAGGUUCGCAUUAUUUGUUCAGAGAUAGCCUCGCUAUUGCCAUUGGCGACUUACUUACCUGCAAAGUAAGAGAAGAGUGGGUGAGUUCAUUGCGAACUCGGUGAAUAAUCCGGAAUCAUCAACGUAUGAUUAAAAUACAGAGUUUAAAAUAGAAAGAAGACUUAGUAUGAAAAACUAUUGUAUCGCGUGUUGGGUUCGCAGUGAAUGCUAGGUUCGCAGUGAAUGUGCGAGACCCAGUUUAUAGAACCUGCUUGUCAUAAAAUCAUAUAAGUUUGAAAAUAGUUUUGCAUGUACUUACUGAAAAUCAUACUUAAAAACUUAGCUUGUUCUUGUUUGAAAAUGGAUCUUUUAUAGAAUGAAACAUGCUCACAUACUUAUCUUAUCGGAAUGGCUGAGGAAUAUAAAAUAUGUUCUUGCACUUUUCUUAACUUACUUAUAUUAUCUUGUCUUAUUUUGUUGGAUAUGUGGAUCUCUUUAUAACGCCUCAGAAUGACUCAAAGAGUCCUUAAGAUGUCCCAUAAGUGUAACAUAAGCUAAACACUCUCUUGUACACCAACAUGUCCUAUUGAAUGGAGCAUAGCUUGGCGUUCCCUUAUCUCUCCACAUGUCCCAAAGCCUCAAUGCCCAAAUCACAAAACUUAUUGGUGAGUACUCACAAUCCUUUGGUAUACAAAUAUAUCCAAUAUAUAAGCUCACAAAGGCACUCGUAUAGAAACUUAGCACAUAGAGCUAGAAAAAACAUAGCUUAUAGAACUGUAUUUUUAAAACAUGCUUUAAAACAUAGGCUUGCAUAGGAGCAUGCGUAACACAUAUCUUUAAAACAUAGCUUAAAACAUAUCUUGAAAACAAAUUAUCAGAACUUUUAAAAACAUAGUUUUAUAGGAAAAAAAACUUACUCUUGGAACUUAGUUUUUAAAAAAAAAAGAUUCUUAGAAAACAUAACAGUUCACACACAAGUUACGAAACCUGAGCAUUCAUACUAAAAAACAUGAUAGUUACCACACUUAUGGCAAUUCUUAACCACUCAUCGAUAAAACUGAAAAUUUAAAUGAGUUUUGCCUUGCCUUUAUCCUUGCUGUAGAUAGUCUGGUUGGUUCGUAACAUGCAUAAACACACAAAUUACUUCAAUAGACAAAACUUACGAACUUCACACAUGCAAGCGAACCUAGCUUUCUGGACAAUAAACCCUAAUAGGAAAAAUGCUUACCUUGGUUGCUACGAAUUUGGUUCAGAACAAAGACUUGACAACAAAAUAACGAUGAAAGAAUUUUUCCUAGAAUAAGGAUUGUAUUUAUAGGCACUAAGUAUCUUAGUGACCUUAGGAUACCCUAUUUGACUUAGGAACCCUCUACGGUUUAAAAGAAGGUUACGUGCACGAAAAGUAUCCUAGAUACACAAUAUAUUUAUUUCCUAAGUUUAGUCUAACUUGACUUUUGAUUGGCGAACCCCUAGUUUGUAACUCAAUUGUUGAACCCCAGCUCACUAAACAGAUUGGAGAACACAACUUUCAAUGAAUCUAGCGAACCUCUUACCACAUCAUUUGGCGUGCAGCAGUUUGCUAGAACACUGGCAAACUCCUUACUGGUAUCCCCUUUGGUGAACCCUAGUUUGCUGAAACACUAGUGAACCCUCACUUGUAAGGUCAAAACUUCUAGAUCAGGUUUCAGGAUGUUACAAACACCAUAUUUUUAUCAUAAUUGUUGUUGAUUAUUUUUCUUUCCUGAAUCAAAUCAUCUUUCAUUAAAUUAUUUUUCUAUUAGUUUUGUAAUUGUCGUCAAUAGCACCUCUAUAUUUGCCAAGAAACAAACCGAAUUUAGGUGAAUCAGACCGAAAUAAAGUGUGAAGAACAUCAACCGGAACUGUGGUGAAAGGUGUGUGUCUUUUCCAAGUGAAUCAGUGGUGAUCUGUGUACGAUUAAGGCCACAUGGGCUAUGCGUGUGGUCCACCAACUACCACACAACCAUGUGCACUUGUAGAUUUUAGGGACUUCAUGAACCAUACGGCCUCAGCCAGUUACACGAUCGUGUCUUUCCUGCAAGGUUUAUCAUUUUCCACAUGGAAUCAUGCUGUUACAUGACCGUCUAACCCUUACACAGGGUCUUACCCUUCUCACAUGGCCUGGCCAUACAGCCGUGUGACCCUGUUUUACAGUUUUGACCAAAAAUUUAUCAUAUGUUCAAUUUAGUCCUCGUUUAUCCCUUGAAUUAUUUUAGAGUUUUCAUUCACUCAAUUAAGUCCUUGAUAUUGUGUUUAUUCUAGAAUCUGUGAUUUAAUGACUAAAUUCCUAUUUUUAUAUUGUAUGAGAUGUGAAUAUUACAUGCCUACUGUCAUUGUAAUACUGAUAAACUAUUAAUGAUAAUAUUGUUACCACCCUAUUGAGUACAUGUUAAGCAUGUCUACUGCUAAUGUUGAACUGAAUACAUGAUAAGCAUGUCUAUUAUUAUUAUUUUUUGUAUUGUUCUAUUACAAAGCAUGCCAUAUUGCAUUGCAUGGGGUGGGACGAUAUGUAUGGAGAAAGGGUGACAGUUUAAUAAUCUGCAACCCAGUGGUGGCUCGUCCACAAACCCAAUGGCAGUUUAUCUGCAAAUGUUUUAACUAAAAAUACUGGUUGUUUAUCCGCAAUUUUUACAACGAAGUGGUAGUUUAUAUACAAAUCAGUGGUGAUUUAUCCACAACUCGGUGUGUAUGGAUGGAUGAGUUCUGGGGAACUCAUAGUGUGGUGUGUAGUGAAGUUGGGUAGGACCUUUUCUGAUAAACUGAAAUUGCAUUGCCAUUCAUAAACAUGUGCAUACAAACCAUGAAUUCUAAAUAUUAUAGUGAAGUGUUGAAUUGGAAAACCGAUAUUGUGAAUUGCUAUACGAUUGUGGUUAUUCUAAGAAUUGUUAUUUCGUAUGCUUUGACCACUAUGUUACACCGAUUUUCUUGUGAUAUGACUCACAUUGAGCUUAAGUUCACCCCCUUUUAAUUUCCAUCUUUAUAGAUAACCCACCAGGUUAGGACAUAGACACAACAUCUGGAAGGUCUUGGCUCAGAUAAAUUUUUUUAUUAAAAGUAUUUUAGACUUAUUAUUAUUUCUAUUAUUUGGAAUUGUAUUGUUUUAUUCAAACUUUGGCACGAGACUUAAGUUUUGAGUUUAUUUGACAUGCAUGAAAUUUAAUUUGAAUAUUAGGAUAUUGAAACAUGGAUUUUAAACUAAUUAUGCAUGAAAUUUUGGUUUCGCCAUCAUUAAAAAUAUUUUGAAUAUCAUUUUUCCGCUACGAUAUUAUGAAAAUAAGAAUUUGAAAAAAGUAAAUGAAUUGGAAAUCAACUUUUACUAAGUAAACUUUAAAAUCCAUUGUUUUUUGGAAACUUUUAUUUUUUAGUGAAAACAUGAUUACACGCAAAGUUUUUCUUCAAUAAUAAGCAAAUGUUUUAAACAACUGUUUUAUAAAAACUCCGAUAGUUGUAGUAGGCCAUUUCGGUAGCCAAUGCAAUCUUUUGAAUUCAGUCUUAACGUUUAGGCCGAGUUGAGGAAGUUACUAUUAGCAACUUAACAUUAAUUUGAACAUUAAAUGUUGGUCCAAACUUGACACGAAAUAUAUUUAGAAUACAUAAAUCAAAAAAUUAGUAAGUUGGCUACUUGGGUUAAUUUAUUGGUUUGACACAACAUAUCCUAUAGUAAUUCAAUGGGAUUAGAACAUCCCAACUCCUAGUUGAUUUAAUUGCUAGGUUAUCUAAGUCCACGCUUGCAAUUAUUGCUUAAAGCAUUUGUUUAAUAAAAUCUUAAAUUCCAAUGGAGGUGCUUUUUCAUAAUAUGAGGUAACCUAAGAAAAAGGAAAAAGUUGAACAUAUUGUUAAGUUAAAAUUGAACAAAUUAAGGCAAAGUGUACAAAUGGAGUGUCAUCAUUCAAAUCGGUCCUUCUCUUAAUUGUCAUAAGCCAAUUAGGUAAGCCAGAUUCUUUUAAUAAAAAGUAAAGAUUUCAUGGCAUCCCUAAAGCAUUGCAAAUUUUUUGUAAGCAUUAAAAUGGCAUUAGUUGGUACAAUACUGGUAUUGAUCUGUAUAUAUUGCUUCGGUUUUGAUCAGUACCAAAUAGUUUAUAUUUCGUUCAAUCAAAAUUUUGUUAUGUUUGAUUAUUUCGGUGUGUUUCGACCUAUUUUGGUCAAUAUCGGCUUGUACUAGCUAGUAUAAAAUUUGAUAUUUUAAACUAAAUUUUAAAAUUUUUUAAUCUUAAUUAUUUUAAUUUUGGCUAAAGGGUCUUCAAAGCCCUUGAACAUUAAAAUUUCAAUCAAUUAAGCCCAUCACACAUUAAAGUUAACGAUCAACCAUGAAAGAGCAACAAUAGCCAUUAUGAGCAAUUGUUUUCACCACGUGGCAUGUUAGACUGUACCACGUGACGAAAUAUGGUGUUUUAAAUUUAAAACCAUUAAAACUAUAGAAAAUCAUAAAAUAUUAAAAAAUUACAAAAGUUAUAAAAUUAUAUAAAAAUGAACAAAAUUAUAAAAAGUAGUAUAAAUGAUACAAAAAUUAUAUAAAUUAUUAAAAAAUUGCAAAAAGAAAACAUUAAAAAUAAGCUUAAAAUAAGAAUAUAUAAAAAAAUGUAAAAAAAAAAAAUUAGAAACUAAGUUUCGGAUACACAGCUCUGGCUGUAUUUUUCAUAAAUAAAAGCUUGGUUGAGAUUUUAGAUUUGGUAUAAAUACAAUAAAUAUAAUAUUUAUAGUAGUAAACAAGUGAAUGAAAUUAAGUAAUUGUGAUUGAGAUUCACCAUGAUUAUAUUUAUAGGAAUAAAAUAUUCCUAUAUAUAAUGAAAGUGUAAUUGAAUAAUAAAAUUCAUAUUAAUACAAGUUGCUUUAAAACAAAAGUAAAUAAUUUGAUAUUGAUCUUGUGAAACAAUUGAAUUUUGGUUUUGUUAUGGGAUUAAAUUAGCAAUUAAUCCUUUUUAAGAAUUUAGAGAACGAAUUAGAUAAGUUAGACAUAAAAGUAGAAGAGUAAAAAGAAAGGAAGUAGUGGGUAGAUUAACAUAAUUAGGAGUUUAAAUGAUAUGAUAAUAAUUAAAGCUUUAAUUUAGUUAAGGUAAUUAGAAAUGUUUGAUCAUAUUUUAGAUGUUAAUUGAAAUUAAACGAGUUAAUAGGUCGAAUACAAGUUUAUAUUUUAGUUAAGAUAAUUAAGAGUUUAACUAGAAUUAAAAAAAAAUAAGAAGCACAUUGAAUCGUCGAUGAAUUGAUUUGAUUCUAAAUCCAAACUCAAGAGAGUAGGAACAUAAUCCAUUGGAAACAACACUUUUAAGUUGUUUAAAUUUUUGAGAAAGAAAAACACUUUCAACCUUUUUUUUAAUCCCCACUCUAUCCACCAACCUACUCGUUGCUUUAUAAGUCAAAAUCGGGAAAUUAAAUAUUACACUAUUACUAAUUCGGUUAAAUUGGUUAAUUCGGUCAAAUGAAUAUUAUCGAUUUUUUGAUAUGUUUUUUUACUUGUUUUAACCAAAAAAAUAAAACAUAUAAAUUUCGGUUAAUUUGAUUAACCGGCCGAAUUAAUCGAAAUAUUUCGAUUUGGUUAAUGGUUAAAGAUACUAAUUCGAUUCGGUUAACUGAUCGGUUAAUUGUUUGAGCACCCCUAAAAAUAAGUCAUGGGACCAACAUACUGACUUCCAUACAAUUGUUAGGUAUAUAUAGCAACUCAUAAGUAUGAGUAGAAUUAGUACGCAGUACCUUAGAUUCAUUGAGCCACAUUUCAAAGUUUCCCAUGAUCUCUUUUGCUGUCAAUGAUAUAAUAAACUUUUUGUAUUCACAAUUAUGUUCACAAUAUAAAACAUAAUUGGUCGACUUGAAUACAAUUAAAUGAGACACUCUAAUGUUCUUUCCUUUUCCUCAAAUCUCUCUAUUUCAAUUCAACUACUCUCUAGAUAUGUCCCGUUAGAUUGAAUCAUACAUGAUCAUCGAUAGCCUACUAAAAUAGCUAAUAUUGAUGUAAAACUUCAAGAAACAGUUAAAGGUCAUGAGGGUACUUAGUAUAGAUCUUCAGUUGAUCUCAUGGGUUUCACACAACAUAGAAGCAGAGAUCAAAUCUUCUAUUACCCAUUUUGUUCGUAUAAUACACAUGUAGUAUGAAACACAUGCUAUGGUAUUACUCUCACUUUCCUUGAAGUGUAUGUCUUUAUCAAAAAAUCAAUACCACAUAGGUGAUAAUUCAAAUACACUUAGUAUCUAACUCGAGUCCACAACUUUAUUUUCUUAAUAGAUUCAACAACAAGACUUUCACCUGGAAUAAAAGACAUAUAAAGUGAAAAAUUCAUAUUUAAAUUAUCAAACAUAAAUCAAAUUGAUUAUAAUUAUAUCAUUUUGCAUAUAGCUCAUGUCGUGCAAGUGCACACUUUAGCCCCAACAAGUUUGGACCUAUGCCCUUCAUGCAUGCAAGGCAAGAUUCCAAACAUAAUCAUUCAAUCAUCAUUUAUGUGGGUUCUCAUAUAUAUACACAUCUCACACUUGGUAUUUAACCAAUGUGGGAUCUAAGCUUUUCUUUUCCUCAACAAAUAUUCACAAGUAGCUUACUUUGAGCACCAAUUUCUCAUUCAUCACUCAACCAUUUUGAGCAUAUGAUAUACUGUUGUAAAGGUCUCAUGGAGUAGAAUAUAAAAUCAUAAUUUUAUGAUUCAACUCUCAACAUUUACCAAUUAAAAAUAUGCCUCAAAGUUCCCAUAAAUUACAAAUUUUCCAACAACUUUUGAAUGCAUUAAUCAUUAUCAACAUUAACUCAAGUGAGGACAAGAAUAUAUUAUUCAACUUGCAAUCCUAGAGUUUUGACAUUCCUUUAAAAAAUCUCUAGGAAUCGGUUUUGUAAACUGAUUUGCAAUCCUCUUAUGCAUAGACUUUCUCUCUUGUUGUGAGAUUUACCUUCACACUUAUUUUUUCCAAUAUACUAACUUUAGAUAUUUGGAGUUUGGAGUUGGUCAAACAGAUGUAAAAGCUACCUUUUCCAAAUGAAAAUCUGGAAUUUACACAGACAAAGUAGAUUUCAUUGACAAAGGUGAAAUGCAUAGUCUGGGCAAGUUAUGAAGAUCAAUUUUAUGAUCUUAAGCGAUUUUCCAGAUAGUGAUAUGCUAUUUUUUUUAAUUAAGAAACUGUUUAGUUUGAUUUAAUCAUAAUUGAUAAAGACCACUUUACUCAUGUUAAAAGAAGGAAAGAAAAUUUUGUAACUAUGUCAUUUUAUGUGGGUGACAUGUUGUUGGCCGCAAAUGAAUUAGUGCUUAUCAUUAUGGGUUAUGCAAGACUACAUGUCAAUUCAUACGAAUGUGUCCUUUUUUCAAUGUUGUGAGUAGCAUCAUAUAUGUUAUGAUGUACAUAAAGCAAAGUAUCUCUUGUAUAGUUGGAUUCAAGACACUCCAAUCCAAACUCAUUGCAAAACAAUGAAAAUGAUAUUGAGGUAUUGAAAAGACACUAUGGAUUUUCACCAUGCUAUCUAAUUGUGAAUACAAAUACCUAUUAAUUAAAAGGAGAUUUAGAUGAAAUAUUGAAAUCUAUCUCCACACAUGUGUUCGUAUUUGAUAAUGGAGUGAACUCUUAAAGUAGUAAGAAAUAAACUUGUAUAGCAUGGUCUAUUAUUGAUGCUGAAAUUGGCAUUUUUAGCGAUGGUUCAAGAGAGUGUUUGGGUUAAAAUAAUCACGAUUAAUAUAGUUACGUUAAAGCAAAAUAUCUUCUAUAGUUGGAUUCAACAUAGUCCAAUCCAAACUUAUUGCAAAACAAUGAAAAUGAUUUUGAGGUCUUUUAUUGUUCUCUCUUGUAUAGUUUGCAUCUCAAGGCACUUUCUUGUUGAUUACGAUGAACAAAAAACGGUUGCAAGCUCUGGGACGAGCAAGAUCAAUAUCUUUAGAGAUCAAAUGAUGGUUAGUAUACAAAUUUAAAAACUAGUUUUUAUAAUUUCAUUUUCAUAUAGUUUUUAUUUAUUUUUUAUUAUAAAUUUUAUGCUUUUUAUAAUAUUUUAUAUGUUUUAGUAUUUUUACAAUAUUUUAAUAACUUUCUAUCUUUUUAAAUAUUUAUUACCAUUUUUAUUUUUAAUUCAAAUAAUUUAUUUUUUUCCAAUUUUCUAUAUUUUAUAAUAUUUUUAAUAAUAUUUUAUAUAUUUAAAUAUUUUUUCAUAAUUUUAAUUUUUUUAAAUUUUUCAUAAUUUAUAUGUUUUUUUAAUUUUUAUUUUAGUACUUUUUAAUGCUUUUCACAAUUUUUAAUAAUUUUUAUAAUUUAUAUUUUUUUUUCGUUUAUAAUCAUUUUUAUAAUUUAUAUAUAUAUCUGCAAUUUUAUAUAUUUUAUAAUUUUUGCAAUUUUUAUAUUUUAUAAAAUAAUUUUGUAAUACUCCAAACUCGGCCUUAACGUUAUGACCAAAUCUAGAGAUGCUAUGAAGAUACAUUAAAAAAAAUCUAGAAUCUGUUGAUUUUAUAAAAUGAUACUUGCCCUUAUUUAGUAAAAUCUGAGUUUAUUUGAGAAAUUUAUCGUUUUGAUGGGUUUGUCAAUUAUUUACUCAUAAAACUAGUCGAAUCCAAUUUGAAAACACGAUUUUUUUUGUUGUUGUAAAAUCCAUUAUUCAACAAUUCAAUUUUCAACCCACCAACGAGGAAAUCACACAGGACUUCCUGCUAACCUACCAUCUUUUUUCAAGAGUUCAAACCCAAUCCAACACCACCAACUCGACAGCACAUUAAGGGCUAACAAAAAUAAAUUAGAGACUCAAACGAUAAAUUAACAUCUUAUCGUUGAACUAGUAAACUCAUUCUAUCACAAAUUGAUCAAAAAUAGUAUUUAAGUGGUAAGGAACAAGAUAAGGAUAAAAGACAAAAAUAAUAAAAUUUCUUAAAAAUGAGAUUUGAACCCUAAUCAGUAAAACAAAUACUUAUUCAUGACAUAAAUUAACAAAUUAAAAAUUCAUAUUUUUGGGUCUUAAAAGUUUUUAAUAAAUUAUAAUUACUUGAUUCCAGUUUCUUUAUUAUGCCCAAAUUUAAGAUUAAGCCCUAUAUUUUAAUUUUGACAUAAUUUGAUUUAUUUAUUUUUAUAAUGUCAUUAGUUAUCUUAAAUCGCUAACAUUAUUAGCUAUGCCAAGUAAAAUAACAUCGCGUAUUUUUUUUCUUAAAAUCAUCACUUCUAACUAAAUAAUGGCUUAAUCACUUUUUUAACUAAUUAUACUAACAUAGAUUUUUUUUAGUUGGAACGAGUAUGUUUAAGGAAAAAUCACCUCAACACUUUACUUGAAAUUAGUAAUCACAUUAAUUAUUUGGACUAACUAAAUCAUUACUGAAUCACCUUCUAACUAAUUAUAGUAAUGUAUAUAUUUAAGAAAAAGCUCACUUUAAUGUUUUAACUGAAAUUAUUAACCGUGUUAAUUACUUAAACUAACUAAUGAAAAAUAUUUCAAAUUAAUUUAUACUGAAUAACUCUCAAAUCCAAGUAUAAUAAAAUAAUAUGACUAACUCAAACUUGGCGUUGAAUUGAGUUUGGGAGUAAAAUAAUCACAUCACUCAUUGGCAAAGCAUGACUGUGAUUAUGAUAUGGUUUUUCGAAGUAUAACUAUGGUGGAGUUGAUAGCAUUGAUUAGAAUACCUUUAUAAAUGAAUAUAUAACAUUUAAUCAUGUAUAUAUUUUUAAUAAUUUAAUAACUUAAAAAAACACCACACUUUAUUAUAUAUGUAAAAUGUAAAUAGAAGCUACAUUCUUAUUUCAUGAAAUAACAUCAUAGAGAAUGUGAUGGCAGAGUUCAUUCUCAGUAAUAUAUGUGAUACUAAUUAGGAAUCAAACUGUCUUCAAUGGCUGGAUGGAGGUGGAGGUGGAGGUGGAGACAUGAAAGGAAUGGAAGGCAAGCUGCUACUGGGAAGUGGUGGAAGAACAGUGAUAGGCUUAGGCUAAGAUGGUGGGAUUGUUGGUAGCUUCGGGAUUCAAGGCAAUGGAGGUAUGCAGGGUUGAGCUGAGAAUGAUGGUAGAUCUAGGAUUGAAGGCAAUGGAAGUAUGUUGGGCAACUUACGAAGUGGUGGUAGUUCUAAGUUCUGGGAUUGAAGGAAAUGGUGGUGGUUCUGGGAUUAAAGGAAGUGGUGACAUCGGAGGUGGCAAUGGUACCGGUAAAUAUGCAGAUGGCAAUGGUACUGGUAAAAAUGGAGGUGGCAAUGGUAUUGGCGACAAUGGAGGUAGCAAUGGUACUGGUGACAAUGGUAUUGGCGACAAUGGAGGUGGCAAUGGUAUUGGUGGAAAUGGAGGUGGCACUUGCUGAAGAUUUCGGGUUGCUAGGCUAACCUCCAUGCUUGAAAAACCCAAGGAAAUGAAGCAGGCUAAUAAAAUGAAAACGUUGGAAGCUGCCAUUUUUUUUUGGAGAGAUGAACUAAAGAUUGAAGAUUUGAGUUGAGGAAAGCAGGAUUGGUUUCGGGUAUUUAUAGCCACAUUUGAAGGAGUUUUUUAAUUAUUUGUUUGAGAUAUUACUCCCCUACUUAGCUUACUACCUUC